rnacentral:rRNA from 1 species
AAUGAACGUUGGCGGCGUGGAUUAGGCAUGCAAGUCGAGCGAGAACCCGCAAGGGGGACAGCGGCAAACGGGGUAGUAAUGUGUCGGAACGUGCCCUCAGGUCGGGGAUAGCGGCGGGAAACUGCCGGUAAUACCCGAUGACCUCGAGAGAGCAAAGGUGUGAUUCCGCCGGAGGAGCGGCCGACAUGGUAUUAGCUAGUUGGCGGGGUAACGGCCCACCAAGGCUGUGAUGCCUAGGGGAUGUGAGAGCAUGAUCCCCACCAUUGGGACUGAGACACUGCCCAGACACCUACGGGUGGCUGCAGUCGAGAAUCUUCGUCAAUGGGCGAAAGCCUGAACGAGCGACGCCGCGUGUGGGAUGACGGCCUUUGGGUUGUAAACCACUGUCGAGGGGGAUGAAGGCCUGGUAGUCAUCUGCCAGGUUUGACAGAGCCCUGGAGGAAGCACGGGCUAAGUUCGUGCCAGCAGCCGCAGUAACAC